CCCCUCUCAGGAUUGCACCUGGAGAAUUUCCAGUACUCUACCAGUCUCGACUAGGUGAGGGAGAGUCAAGCAGAGGCCUACCUAUUCCAUUCUUAGUUUGGGCAGUGGCUAGCAAGUGGAAGGCAGUCUGCUACAAGU